rnacentral:miRNA from 1 species
AUAAGAAUCACCUGAGAGUUUUGUCAAAAUGUGGAUUCUGAUUUAGUAGGACUGUGAUGGAAACUGAAAAUCUGCUUUUGUAACAAGUUCUCAAGUGGUAUGAUU